rnacentral:misc_RNA from 1 species
AACGCACGAGACCUGCGGACCUGCGGAGGGAUCAUUAGUGAACGCCCUCACGGGCUUAUAACUAUUCCAAACCUCUGUGAACCGUGCCCUUCGGGGCUAUUUUACAAACAUGGUGUAAUGAGCGUCAUAUAUCAUAACAAAACAAAACUUUUAACAAUGGAUCUCU